GGAGAGCGCAGCGCGAGUUCCCGCUACGCUUCGCAGGCUUUGGGUUCCUUUCGCUGAAGCCGGGAGAGUCUUGCUCUCCUGGCUUCAGCAAAAGGAACCCGAAGCCUGCAGAGCACAGCGGGAACUCGUGCUGCGCUCCA